GCGGAAGUAGCUCAGGGGUAGAGCAUCGGCUUCCCAAGCCGAGUGCCGCGGGUUCGAAUCCCGUCUUCCGCU
rfam:Fervidicola ferrireducens strain Y170 AN618_contig000074, whole genome shotgun sequence.